ACCAGCAGCCAUAUCACUCUGCAAUUCACAACUGGUAACCCAGCUGGUAACUGAAGCUAAGCAGGUGUGAGCCUGGUCAGUACCUGGAUGGGAGACCUCUUGGGAAAAACUUAGGUUGCUGCUUGAA
rnacentral:rRNA from 1 species